UAAAAACAGAGGGACUUUAAUGCAGGGAAUUUGUUAAACAGGUAAUAGUCAGUCGCCCAGCCUAGAAGUUAAACAGAGGACAGUGAGACAAUUCAAAGUAACAGCAGCAGGAAGCACUGUCACCCCCAGGCUGCAGGGUCACCCAGCAAGAGCUGGAACCACAGUGGGCUUGUCGGGGCAGCAUCUAUAGGAAUGGAAAACACACAGCAACUGUCCGAGAUUCUCUUAAAGCAGAGGCAGAGUGAGAAAGAGCCCAGCACCCAAUUUCCUGCCAAUGCUCCCCAGUGGCCAAACAAAAUAAAAAACCAGAUGAUAGAGAAACCUGAGAAAUGCAGCCCUGCAGAGCACAAGAAAGGUGAAGGAGAAUGGGCUGAGCACAGAUACACAAGGCAAGAAGGGGUGGAAGGUCUCCUAGAUUUUCUGGGGUCUGUGGGCAGGGCUGGGACACUAAGAAGAAGGUUCUUUCAGAAGCAGCCUCUGAGCCAGGGAUUUGUAUGCAAAUGAUUUUUUUUUUUUUUUUUUUGAAGACAGGGUCUUACUCUGUUGCCCAGGCUGGAGUGCAGUGGCACGACCUUGGCUCACUGCACCCUCCACUUCUUGAGUUCAAGCGAUUCUUGUGCCUCAGCUUCCCAAGUAGCUGGAAUUACAGGUGUGCACCACCAUGUCUGGCUUUUAAAAAUUUUUUUAUUUUUUAAUUUUUUUUAUUUUUAGUAGAGACAGGAUUUCCCCAUCUUGGCUAGACUGGUCUCAGACUCCUGACCUCAAGCGAUCUGCCCACCUGGGCCUCCCAAAGUGCUGGGAUUACAGGUGUGAGCCAUCAUGCCCAGCGUGCAUGCAAAUGACUUAUAAAGAAAGUGUCCCAAGGAGAGCUCAGUGAGAGAGUCAGGGGAAGCAGUGUUGGAAAGGGAAGAAGCCAAUGGAAGGAGAGAUUUCAGGGGAAGACUGAACAUCGUUUGAUCCGGUGGAGAGGUCUGAGGAUAUGAGAAGAUGACAGUCUGCAACCCAGAAGAGAACCCUCACAGAACCUGACCAUGCCGGCACCCUGAUCUCAGGUUUCCAGCCUCCAGAACUGUGAGAAGUAAGUUUCUAUUGUUUAUAAGUCACUCAGUCUCUGGUACUUUGCAACAGCAGCCUAAAUGGACUAAGACAAAUGGGGAUAGGUGUUGCCUGUGUGAUCAGGUUCCCAUUCUGUCCUCUCUCUCUCCUCAACUUGCUUGCCCUGAUGCAGCUGGCUUCCAUGUGUAAAGUGCUCUAUGGAGAGGCCUGUGUGGCAAGGAACUGGGAGUAGCCUCCAGAUGACAGCCAGUAAGGAACUGAGACCCUCAGUCCACCAACCCAUGAGGAACCCAUGCAAUGACCACAUGAGUCAAACUUUGAGAUGACUGCAGACCGAGCCAGCCCCUUGAUAAGAGCUUUGUGAGAGGAUCAGAGCCAAAGGACCAGGUAACUGUUGACUGAUGCAGCUCACUGUCUGUGACCUGGAUGAUCAGGCUGCAGCCUGACCUCCUUUUAGGGGUAGGUAUUUUUAAGCUGUUUUAUAAGCACUUUGUUCUAGUCUCUUUC
rnacentral:lncRNA from 10 species